UAGUAACAUUUCUGUUGUUGUUGCGUCGGAGUUCGGACGUGCUUGUCCGUAUCGCUCGCGAAUAGAUUUAUUUAAUAUUUUCCAUCGACUUGUACAAACCGGAACUUGCUGAAAAUUAGGCAAGUCUGUUGUAAAUUGUGCUUGUUGUGCAAAAAAAAACAAAAACAAUUAGCAUUUACUGCUGUGCGCGUUAAGUAUGUAAAGAAUACCGCAAAAUUUCUGUGUCCCAAAACGAAAAGCCAAAGAGAGCGAGUGGCAGAUUUUUUUCCUGUCUACCUACCUACACAAACAUACGUAUACACACGUAUACCUCGGUAUAUUGGAUGCGUAUGCAAGUCAAUGCGCAUAUAAUUGAAAUUGUUUUUAAU